CCAAUGCCUUCGCCGCCGGCCGGUGCACCGCCUGUGCGGUCGCCCUAGCAGAAUCCCCAUCCGUCAUACCAACCCCGUGUCCCCAAUCGCGAUUUUGUGUUGGAAGUCUGGAACCCUACCGCCGCUUCUCCUGCCUGCGUCCCUCGGCAGCUGGUCUACGUCUGUCCGCUCCUACUCGCCGGCGGCAAGAUUCGUCAAUACUCGGGAGCGGCAUCUCUUCGUUUGUGAUGGUCAGGGGAUCUACGCCUGGGCGUAGUUCGCUUGGUGGUUAUCCAGGAAAAAGUAGAGGAGAGGCGGCGGCCGGAAGCGUUCUCAGCGACAACAAGACAUCACCGGCGGGGCGGCCGUCCGCCACCGUGGAGGAUAUGCACCUCCACCGGCCUCCCUGCCCCCGUAUGAGCUCCUCUUUGCUCGACCACCCUCUGCCCGAGCUCUCCCCGGCCGACCCCUUCCCUGCCGCGGGAUGCCCUUUCCAAGCUCCUCUGUGCGCGGCGGCUGUGGCGGUGGUCAAUCCUCCUCCAGUGUUGCGCCCAUCUCAGAGAUGCUCCGGCUCCCGUACACAUCCUAACCUGGGCGGCGGCCCACCCUCUCCAUGGUCUCCGUGCACGGCUCUUCACGCCGGCGCGAGUUGCAGCAGGCCGCUGACCCGGUUCUGGAGCUUGACGAUGCAGACAUCAUAUGGGGCGCAGGAGGGGCGGUGGCAUACCGUGGGGGUGCUAUUGGAGCUAUGCCUGCUUGCCAUCUUGCCGACGCUAGACGAAGACGGCAUCGAUUGGAUCGACCAAGGUUCCGUACUCCAUCCCCUCCCAGGUCCCAGCAACCAGCAUGUUCUUUUACUUCCUACUAGAGGCGAGGACAUGACUUCAUUUGGUCUGAACUAGAGAUGCACUUUGGAAUUGGUCGACAGCUAUGUAUAAUAUAUACAGCCUAAGUACAUUUCUUAAUUUUUAAAUCUGGCCGCAUGCUGAUGGUCCAUACAGUUCGGUACUCCUGCGGUCCUGCCAUAUUAACUAUUUCAGUUUUCAUUUAUUUCCUAGACUUCUUCUGCCAUGUUAUUUUCGAACUUUUUACUUCAUUUCAAACAAUUGCUUGCUUAGUAUAUAUUAGGAUGAAGCUGUGGAGGUAGGUUUAUUAUCAUGCUAUUUAAAUAUGCUUCUUUCUUGAUAUAUUUGUUCCUACAUAACGGAGGAUAUGCAGAGCUAGCUUGAUAUUGCAGGUAUAUAAGGAGCACAAUCAGUUUGAUGGUGUAAAAGUUAAAGCAGGUUACCUCUGUAUUUCUGUGUCCUGAUAGGUCCUGAGUUCGAAUCGUGGGUGUUAUUUUUAGGAAACAUGCUAAUAGAGGUAUGCUAAUCAGGGCUUCUCACUUUUAAGCAGCGAUUUUUGCGGCGCUCAUCUGCUAUUCUAUCUGGUGCCCGAUUGUAGUAAUAUAAUAGGGUGUUGAGUGCAAAUUGAUAGAUAUUUCCGGUCUGAAGUUUAUUUCAUGCCUGUUUGCUAAUAUUUCUGUUUCGUCAUUAACUCAUUUUUGGAGCUAGGAAAUGUGAGCCCAGAUACAAGUUUUGCUUGCUUCCAUGAAUAUCGUUGUGCGGGUGAGUACAACUGCAGUCAGGGUCCAUUCACAUCAAAGGUGGGAUAUUAGGAUCGAUGAAUAUUGGUCUUUCCGGCAAAGUUUGUAUACUUUAUAAAUUGCUUAGGUUAAAGGAUAAUGCCAACUAAGAUCAUCAGGUACCAUUAUCAGCAACUGCAAAUGCAACAAAAUGGAAAUUACAUGAUUGCUCUCACAGUCUCACUUGAAUACAAGAAAAUGGUGCAUUUUCGUAUUGCGGAGAUCAGAUGGUCCAUGUCUUCUUUUGCUAUUUAUUUGUGGCUUGCACUGAACCUUAAUGUGAUAGCGAUGGUUGAUGUAGAGUUAUCGGUGGUAUAUGAUGGAAGCUAGCUUCGGAACACACACACUUUGUACUCUGUACCGAAGGUUUUUGUAAUGGCAUGUUUAGUUUGUACAUGCAUAACAUUAUGUAAUGAGUUUGUGUUGUUUAAUCGUUCAUUACUGCACAGACGGUGCAACCAAUGGAGCUAACUUGAAGAAUAAUGAUGUUUGCUUCCAAUUAUUACAUCUACAGGAUGAACCGCCUUCUUUUCCGUAAAGUUUGCAGCCGCCUCUUCCCCAAGUUCAUGCUGGAUGGCCGUGCUUGCCUGCCCCCUGCGUCACACUCGCCUACCACCCUACUGCGGGUCUAGCUUGACCACAAGCUAGAGCGGCAAGUUGUAGGGGCUCAACGACGACUAUGAGGGGUAUCGCAAAGGGGUCAUGCCCUCUCACUUUGCCAAGGUGGGACACCAGGCGCGUGGAGGGAGAUGGCCAGUUUCCAUGGGAAGCGACACCACCGCCAUUGCAUCACAUGCUAAAACACCUGCAAGUGUCGGAAUUUUCAUUGAUUACUUUCACAAGAAACAUUACAGCAUUGAUUGCAAAAGUUAUAGUAAAUAACUACAUAUGGUGGUAGGCCUAGGCAAAA